CAGAGGUCUCAAGCGUUGUUCGGAUUCAUUGGGCGUAAAGGGUGCGUAGGUGGCGAGGUUAGUCAGGUGUGAAAUCUCGGGGCUCAACCCCGAAACUGCACUUGAUACUGCCUUGCUAGAGUACUGGAGAGGAGAUUGGAAUUUACGGUGUAGCAGUGAAAUGCGUAGAUAUCGUAAGGAAGACCAGUGGCGAAGGCGAAUCUCUGGACAGUUACUGACACUGAGGCACGAAGGCCAGGGGAGCAAACGGG
rnacentral:rRNA from 1 species